rnacentral:tRNA from 1 species
GUUUUUAUAGUUUAAUUAAAACAUUAGUUUUGUAAACUAAAUUUAGAUUAUUUAAUCUUAAAAACA